rnacentral:rRNA from 1 species
UUCCGGUUGAUCCUGCCAGAGGUCACUGCUAUCGGGGUUCGAUUAAGCCAUGCGAGUCGAGAGGGUUCGGCCCUCGGCGUACUGCUCAGUAACACGUGGAUAACCUGCCCUAGGGGAGGGGAUAACCCCGGGAAACUGGGGAUAAUACCCUAUAGGUUACAGAUGCUGGAAUGCCCUGUAACCAAAAGCUCCGGCGCCCUAGGAUGGAUCUGCGGCCGAUUAGGUUGUUGUUGGGGUAACGGCCCAACAAGCCCGUAAUCGGUACGGGUUGUGGGAGCAAGAGCCCGGAGUUGGAUUCUGAGACACGAAUCCAGGCCCUACGGGGCGCAGCAGGCGCGAAACCUUUACAAUGCGGGCAACCGUGAUAAGGGAACCUCGAGUGCCUGUAAACGCAGGCUGUUCAGGUGUUUAAAACGCACCUGGAGAAAGGGCCGGGCAAGACCGGUGCCAGCCGCCGCGGUAAUACCGGCGGCUCGAGUGGUGGCCGCUUUUAUUGGGCUUAAAGCGUUCGUAGCUGGGUUGUUAAGUCUCUUGGGAAAUCUGGCGGCUUAACCGUCAGGCGUCUAAGGGAUACUGGCAAUCUUGGAACCGGGAGAGGUGAGGGGUACUUCGGGGGUAGGGGUGAAAUCCUGUAAUCCUCGAGGGACCACCUGUGGCGAAGGCGCCUCACCAGAACGGCUUCGACAGUGAGGGACGAAAGCUGGGGGAGCAAACCGGAUUAGAUACCCGGGUAGUCCCAGCCGUAAACGAUGCGCGU